GUGCUGCAGCCACAUAGCUGACCCAGGAGCCCUCAGGGGCCAAAGACCUACUCACUUCAUCCUGCCAACGUCGCAAUUGUCAGAAAGGUUCUCAUUCUGUCACCCAGACUGGAGUGCAGUGGUGCAAUCUCGUCUCACUGCAGCUUCAACCUCCCAAUCUCAGCUGAUCCUCCUUCUGCAGUCCCCCAAGCUGGGACUACAGGUGCACAUCACCAUGCCUGGGAUCAAAAUCCAAAUUGACUGUAUGAUCAUCACUGGCAUCUUCCAAAGUUGCUUUCAUCAGAAACUAUGUCCCAGCAUUCCAGCCCCACCACUGUCCCUACCAACCCUUUGAAGCUUCUACUUCUCAAUUUUUCCUCCAUCUGGUCUAUCACCCAUUCUUUUGCCAUUAUUUUCUGCCUUCAUACCUUGUAUUAUUGCAAAAUUAAUUUCACUGGCCUUUUUGCUAUUGUUGAUAUCAGAAUCCAUUUGAUGCAGUACUCACCAAGCAUUUUGAGCCCCCUAAACCUUCUGAAGACCCCUUACCAAUCUGUUUCUGUAUUGGCUUCUAUCAUUCCAAAUUUUUUGCUUCUGUUGGUACUGACAAUGAAUUAUAUACCCCCUUAUGCACUAUAUUCCCACUGCCUUGCAUGUAGAAAGUGUUUAAUAUGAGUUAAUUAAAUAAGUUAUUGAAUAAAGCAGACUUGCUAGUCUCAAUAUUUUAUAGUUCCCAUCCGUCAUUACAGGUGUUUUCUUCUCUCCCUAAUUACUCCUUCUACUACCAUGUUUGUUUUCUGCUGCUUUAAACUAUUUAUGUUAAGUCCUUAUGUUCUGCAAUCACUAACUGAUAGGUUAUUCCUUUUUUCAGUACACUUACUGACCAUAUCAGUCUUCUUUCUCUUCCACUACUGCCAGAUCUUGGCCUCAACUGCCAGCUCUGUUGAGGCAGAAAUUUGGCUGCAACCUCCUUCAAUCUGUCUGUCUCCUGUAUCUAGGAAGGUAUACCUAGGUGGGAUUAGGGUUAGGGAGUAUUAAAGGAUCAUAGAGGACAAGGAGAAUGGUUCCUAAAAAGAGCCCAUUUGGACUAGAAGGGAAAACUAGGAUGAGGAAAGGAUUUUUCAUGAAACAAAUUUAAGUAUUAUUAUACGCUAUGAGGAAAGAACCAAAAGAGUAGGAUAUAUUGAAAAUAUUGAAGAAAAAAAGUAUGCCUGAGAGAACAUGAUCUUAAAGGAUAUAUGGAGAGGUGAAAACUAAUGCACAUGUGGUGGUAUUAGUCUUAGGAUAAAGGUCAUUUCUUCCAUUGAGGAAAAUGGAAAUGGGUAAUAACUUAAUUUUGUAGAUAGAGGGAUAGGAAUCCUCAAUUUUCACCAUAAAUAAAAAAAGUGGUCUGCUGAGAUAAGUCAGAGAUAAGAGAGACUUGAAGAGAGGAGUGAAAACAUGAAAUAAUCAAUUACCUUUAAACUUUCAUUCAUGAGAAUAUCCAAAUGUCUUGGGUGCAGUAAACAUACACUCUCAAAUUUCUGAUGGCAUUAUAAAUUGGCAAAAUGUUUUUGGAAAUCAAUUUGGCCUCAAAAAUAUUCAUAUGUUUGACUCCAUUGACUAUUUCUCAUAAAACAAUUUACAAUAAAGACAGAGUUUAUAUACAAAAAUGUUAAUUUCAACAUUAUUCAUUAUAAGGAAAAAUCCUGGAAGCAACCUAAUUGUCUAUAGAUAGAGGAGGGACUAAAUAAAUUAUGGCACAUCCAAGUAAUAGAGAUCUAUCAGCUGGUCAUGGUGGCUCACGCCUGUAAUCCCAGCACUUUGGGAGGCCGA
rnacentral:lncRNA from 1 species